rnacentral:rRNA from 1 species
AUUGAACGCUGGCGGCAGGCCUAACACAUGCAAGUCGAGCGGAUGAAGGGAGCUUGCUCCUGGAUUCAGCGUCGGACGUGUGAGUAAUGCCUAUGAAUCUGCCUGGUAGUGUGUUAUAACGUCCUGAAACGGGCGCUAAUACCGCAUACGUCCUGAGUGAGAAAGUUGGGGAUCUUCGUACCUCACGCUCUCUUAUGAUCCUAGGUCGUAUUAGCUAGUUGGUGGGGUAAAGGCCUACCAAGGCGACGAUCCGUAAAUGGUCUGAGAGGAUGAUCAGUGAAAAUGGAAGUGAGACAGGGUCAAGAGAACUACGGGAGGAAGCAGUGGGGAAUAUUGGAAAAUGGGCGAAAGAAUGAUACAGCAAUGAAGAGUGUGAGAAGAAGGGCUUAGGAUUGUAAAGAACUUUAAGGUGGGAGGAAGGGAAGUAAGUUAAUAACUAGCUGUAGUGACGUUAACAAAAGAAUAAGCAACGGCUAACUACGUG